rnacentral:rRNA from 1 species
GUGGGGAAUAUUGCACAAUGGGCGCAAGCCUGAUGCAGCAACGCCGCGUGAGGGAUGACGGCCUUCGGGUUGUAAACCUCUUUUAGCAGGGAAGAAGCGAAAGUGACGGUACCUGCAGAAAAAGCACCGGCUAACUACGUGCCAGCAGCCGCGGUAAUACGUAGGGUGCAAGCGUUGUCCGGAAUUAUUGGGCGUAAAGAGCUCGUAGGCGGUUUGUCGCGUCUGCUGUGAAAACGCGAGGCUCAACCUCGCGCCUGCAGUGGGUACGGGCAGACUAGAGUGCGGUAGGGGAGAUUGGAAUUCCUGGUGUAGCGGUGGAAUGCGCAGAUAUCAGGAGGAACACCGAUGGCGAAGGCAGAUCUCUGGGCCGUUACUGACGCUGAGGAGCGAAAGCGUGGGGAGCGAACAGG